rnacentral:rRNA from 1 species
GAUGAACGCUAGCGGCAGGCUUAACACAUGCAAGUCGAGGGGUAGAGUUAGCUUGCUAACUUGAGACCGGCGCACGGGUGCGUAACGCGUAUGCAAUCUACCUUUUACAGAGGGAUAGCCCAGAGAAAUUUGGAUUAAUACCUCAUAGUAUAAUGACUCGGCAUCGAGUUAUUAUUAAAGUCACAACGGUAAAAGAUGAGCAUGCGUCCCAUUAGCUAGUUGGUGUGGUAACGGCACACCAAGGCAACGAUGGGUAGGGGUCCUGAGAGGGAGAUCCCCCACACUGGUACUGAGACACGGACCAGACUCCUACGGGAGGCAGCAGUGAGGAAUAUUGGUCAAUGGGCGCAAGCCUGAACCAGCCAUGCCGCGUGCAGGAUGAAGCAUCUAUGGUGUGUAAACUGCUUUUGUACGGGAAGAAACACUCCUUCGUGAAGGAGCUUGACGGUAUCGUAAGAAUAAGGACCGGCUAACUCCGUGCCAGCAGCCGCGGUAAUACGGAGGGUCCAAGCGUUAUCCGGAAUCAUUGGGUUUAAAGGGUCCGUAGGCGGGUUUAUAAGUCAGUGGUGAAAGCCCAUCGCUCAACGAUGGAACGGCCAUUGAUACUGUAGAUCUUGAAUUAUUAGGAAGUAACUAGAAUAUGUAGUGUAGCGGUGAAAUGCUUAGAGAUUACAUGGAAUACCGAUUGCGAAGGCAGGUUACUACUAAUGGAUUGACGCUGAUGGACGAAAGCGUGGGUAGCGAACAGGAUUAGAUACCCUGGUAGUCCACGCCGUAAACGAUGGAUACUAGCUGUUCGGAGCAAUCUGAGUGGCUAAGCGAAAGUGAUAAGUAUCCCACCUGGGGAGUACGUUCGCAAGAAUGAAACUCAAAGGAAUUGACGGGGGCCCGCACAAGCGGUGGAGCAUGUGGUUUAAUUCGAUGAUACGCGAGGAACCUUACCAAGGCUUAAAUGUAGAUUGACAGGUUUGGAAACAGACUUUUCUUCGGACAAUUUACA